rnacentral:rRNA from 1 species
GAUGAACGCUGGCGGCGUGCCUAAUACAUGCAAGUCGAACGCACAGCGAAAGGUGCUUGCACCUUUCAAGUGAGUGGCGAACGGGUGAGUAACACGUGGACAACCUGCCUCAAGGCUGGGGAUAACAUUUGGAAACAGAUGCUAAUACCGAAUAAAACUUAGUGUCGCAUGACACAAAGUUAAAAGGCGCUUUGGCGUCACCUAGAGAUGGAUCCGCGGUGCAUUAGUUAGUUGGUGGGGUAAAGGCCUACCAAGACAAUGAUGCAUAGCCGAGUUGAGAGACUGAUCGGCCACAUUGGGACUGAGACACGGCCCAAACUCCUACGGGAGACUGCAGUAGGGAAUCUUCCACAAUGGGCGAAAGCCUGAUGGAGCAACGCCGCGUGUGUGAUGAAGGCUUUCGGGUCGUAAAGCACUGUUGUAUGGGAAGAACAGCUAGAAUAGGGAAUGAUUUUAGUUUGACGGUACCAUACCAGAAAGGGACGGCUAAAUACGUGCCAGCAGCCGCUGUAA